ensembl:lncRNA
AGAGACGUUAUGAGAUCAGAGACGUUAUGAGACCAGAGACGUUAUGAGACCAGAGACGUUAUGAGACCAGAGACGUUAUGAGACCAGACACGUUAUGAGACCAGAGACGUUAUGAGACCACAGACGUUAUGAGACCAGAGACGUCAUGAGACCAGAGACGUCAUGAGACCAGAGACGUUAUGAGACCAGAGACGUUAUGAGACCACAGACGUUAUGAGACCACAGACGUUAUGAGACCAGAGACGUUAUGAGACCAGAGACGUUAUGAGACCAGAGACGUUGUGAGACCAGAGACGUUAUGAGACCAGAGACGUUGUGAGACCAGAGACGUUAUGAGACCAGAGACGUUAUGAGACCAGAGACGUUAUGAGACCAGAGACGUUAUGAGACCAGAGAUAGGCUGAGAGGUUAAUGAAAGAGCAGCAUUAAGUGGGAGGAAUUACAGAAACCCCCCCAACACCCUGAAAAUUGUGUUUUGGUCCAAUAGCAACAGCUCCUUCUGAGAUGCCCAAUACCAGAGAAGAUAGAAAACAGAGAGAGAGAGAUCAAUAGCUAAUACAACAGCUCCUUCUGAGAUGCCCAAUACCAAAGAUGAUAGAAAACAGAGAGAUCAAUAGCUAAUACAACAGCUCCUUCUGAGAUGCCCAAUACCAAAGAUGAUAGAAAACAGAGAGAGAUCAAUAGCUAAUACAACAGCUCCUUCUGAGAUGCCCAAUACCAGAGAUGAUAGAAAACAGGGAGAGAGAGAGAUCAAUAGCUAAUACAACAGCUCCUUCUGAGAUGCCCAAUACAAGAGAAGAUAGAAAACAGGGAGAGAGAGAUCAAUAGCUAAUACAACAGCUCCUUCUGAGAUGCCCAAUACCAGAGAAGAUAGAAAACAGGGAGAGAGAGAGAUCAAUAGCUAAUACAACAGCUCCUUCGGAGAUGCCCAAUACCAGAGAAGAUAGAAAACA